rnacentral:rRNA from 1 species
CUCGUAGGCGGUUCGUCGCGUCUGGUGUGAAAGUCCAUCGCUUAACGGUGGAUCUGCGCCGGGUACGGGCGGGCUGGAGCGCGGCAGGGGAGACUGGAAUUCCCGGUGUAACGGUGGAAUGUGUAGAUAUCGGGAAGAACACCAAUGGCGAAGGUAGGUCUCUGGGCCGUUACUGACGCUGAGGAGCGAAAGCGUGGGGAGCGAACA